GGAGUAAAAUUUCCAACCAAAUUUCAUGUCCAACCUAAAAAGAUAGAGUUAUAGUUUUCGAAUUUGAAAUCAUAAUUUCUGAAAACAGUUUUCUCAUAAAAGAAAUUAAAGAAUGGACAAAAUUAUAAAUAUUUUUAAUUGGUGCACGUUAGGCGUUAGCUUCAAUAAUUUUUUGCGGGUAACUUAAAUAUUUUUGAAAAAGCUAAAAUUUAUGUCAUUUAAACAGGCCCACUGUUUAAAUGGACCAGAGAAAAAAUAUCUUCAUAACAGAUGACGAAAAUAUUGUCAAGAAAAUAAUACUCGAAACCUAAUUCUUCUUUCGCCGCAGUCUUGUACAAAUCCCCGGCAUUGUUAGCUCUGGUAACAUGGAUCGUAAUGCUGCUCCGGUUAAUCCUCCUUCUGUUGCUAUGAUGUUAGAUGAGGAAGAUAAGAUGUUUCGUGAUGCCUUAAUUGAAAGUCAGAAAGAAUAUGCCGCAUUUUUGGACUCAUGGCCUACUUUCUCUGAUCACACUAAGGUUUGGAAAACGCUAUAAAACAGAAGGAAGCUGAAACUAUAUCUAAAAUUGAAAGUUCUCGUGGCCGUAGCCUUACCGUGAACCGCAAGUAAACGUCGACACCUGCUUCAUGAGAUAUUAACUAAAUUAUGUCAGUGCUUCUUUUGAUUUUACUUAGUACUAGUAUUUAAAUGUUUAAUCGUUUCUUUAAUAUGAAACACAUUUAAGAGUUUUGAAUUAGUGUUUUACUAUAGAAAGAGUUUGAAUAAGCGUUCUACUUAUUACACAAGGCGGUGUGGAUAAGAUUAAGAAGCAAUUGAGGGCAAUCAAAUUAAAAGCAUCGGACUGAACCUUGCACUAACAACAAGACUUCUUAUUCACAAAAUCUUCUUGGAAAUUUUGUAUACGUAGGAAGAAAGAGAUUCUCUUACGAACACAGUAGGUAUUGAUGUCCAAACAAUGCUUGGUUUGUGCUGUACUUGCAAUCAUCCUGAAGAGAUCUUUUUAUAUAUCGCUUGAAAAUGAAUCUUCUUCCCAGGGCUAAUUCUAAAUGAGCCUGAAUCAGUUCAAGAAUAUCACACAUCAAAGAUUUAAGAACGUGAAAGAAGAAAAGGGAAAGAUUUUGAACCCGCAGAGAUGAGACCCUGCGGCGCAGAGUCAAGUAAUCAGUUCUUCCCACGGAUACAAAACACUGCCUUAAGAUUUAAGAAGCAUCCAUGUAACCAAACUUGUUUAUAAGAAAUUGAUUUGAUCAUUAACUAGAUUCUUGUACCUUAAGUCUGCUAAGCAUCAUUGUAUGAAAUAUGGCAAAGAAGAACACACAAGAUAUGAAAUUUGGUGCAAGCCUUUCAACGUUAUGUGGUAGCUCAGAUUCGUUUUUGCUAUUCUCAGAUA